GGGGUUGUGGCUUAGCAGUAGAGCGCUCACCUAGCAUGUGUGAGGCCCUGAGUUCAAUCCGCAGCACCA
rnacentral:tRNA from 1 species